rnacentral:rRNA from 1 species
AAUGAACGUUGGCGGCGUGGAUUAGGCAUGCGAGUCGUGCGAGAAUCGUAGCAAUACGAGGACAGCGGCGCAAGGGAGAGGAAUAAGUAGAAAUCUACCCUCGGGUCGGGGAUAGCGGCGGGAAACUGCCGGUAAUACCCGAUAACGUCUUUGGACCAAAGGUGUGAUUCCGUCUGAGGAUGAGUCUACUUCCUAUUAGCUAGUUGGCGGGGUAAUGGCCCACCAAGGCAACGAUGGGUAGCAGGUGUGAGAGCAUGACCUGCCUCAUUGGGACUGAGACACUGCCCAGACACCUACGGGUGGCUGCAGUCGAGAAUCUUCGGCAAUGGACGAAAGUCUGACCGAGCGACGCCGCGUGCGGGAUGAAGGCCUUCGGGUUGUAAACCGCUGUCGGAGGGGAACAAGUGUACGGGGGUUCUCCCCUGUAUUUGAGUGAACCUAGGAGGAAGGAGAGGCUAAGCUCGUGCCAGCCGCCGCGGUAA